rnacentral:rRNA from 1 species
CCCUAGUAACUGCGAGUGAAGCGGGAAAAGCUCAAAUUUAAAAUCUAAUGGUCUUUUUGGNNNNNNGNNUUNUAAUUUAGAGAAGCGUCUUCCGCGCCAGANNANGUACAAGUCUCCUGGAACGGAGCGUCGUAGAGGGUGAGAAUCCCGUCUUUGACAUGGACCCUCGGUGCUUCUGUGAUGCGCUCUCAAAGAGUCGAGUUGUUUGGGAAUGCAGCUCAAAAUGGGUGGUGAACUCCAUCUAAGGCUAAAUAUUGGCGAGAGACCGAUAGCGAACAAGUACCGUGAGGGAAAGAUGAAAAGCACUUUGGAAAGAGAGUGAAACAGUACGUGAAAUUGUUGAAAGGGAAACACUUGAAGUCAGUCGCGUCGAUCAAGACUCAGCCUUGCCUCUCGGCUUGGCGUACUUCUUGACUUGACGGGCCAGCAUCAAUUUCGUCCCUCGGAUAAUGGCAGGUGAAAGGUAGCACCUUCACGGGUGUGUUAUAGUCUCUUGUCGCAUACGAGGGGUGGGAUUGAGGAACUCAGCGCGCGCCUCACGGCGUCGGGGCUUCGGCCCACGUUUACGUGCUUAGGAUGCCGGCGUAAUGGCUUUAAAUGACCCGUCUUGAAACACGGACCAAGGAGUCUAACNNNCYUGCGAGUGUUCGGGUGGAAAACCCGUGUGCGAAAUGAAAGUAAAAGUUGGGAC